CCUACGGGGGGCUGCAGUGGGGGAUAUUGCACAAUGGAGGGAACUCUGAUGCAGCGACGCCGCGUGAGCGAAGAAGGAAUUCGUUUCGUAAAGCUCUGUCCUAUGGGAAGAUAAUGACGGUACCAUAGAAGAAAGCCCCGGCUAACUACGUGCCAGCAGCCGCGGUAAUACGUAGGGGGCUAGCGUUGUCCGGAAUUAUUGGGCGUAAAGGGUUCGUAGGCGGUGAUACAUGUCAGAUGUGAAAUCUUGUGGCUUAACCACAUUAAGCAUCUGAAACUGUAUGACUUGAGUGAAGGAGAGGUAAGUGGAAUUCCUAGUGUAGCGGUGAAAUGCGUAGAUAUUAGGAAGAAUACCAGUAGCGAAGGCGACUUACUGGCCUUUAACUGACGCUGAUGAACGAAAGCGUGGGUAGCAAACAGGAUUAGAUACCCCGGUAGUC
rnacentral:rRNA from 2 species